rnacentral:rRNA from 1 species
AACGUACGCUGGCGGCACGCCUAACACAUGCAAGUCGAACGCAGUAGCAAUACUGAGUGGCAAACGGGUGAGUAUAAUGUGGGAAUCUGCCUUUUGGUUUGGAAUAACACGAGGAAACUUGUGCUAAUACCGAAUAAGCCUUUACAGGGAAAGUUUUAACGCCGAAAGAUGAGCCCGCACUUGAUUAGCUAGUUGGUAAGGUAAAAGCUUACCAAGGCAAUGAUCAAUAGCUGUUCUUAGAGGAAGACCAGCCACAUUGGGACUGAGACACGGCCCAGACUCCUACGGGAGGCAGCAGUGGGGAAUCUUGCACAAUGGGGGAAACCCUGAUGCAGCGAUGCCGCGUGAGUGAAGAAGGCCUUUGGGUUGUAAAACUCUUUCGUCGGGGAAGAAAAUGACUGUACCCGAAUAAGAAGGUCCGGCUAACUUCG